rnacentral:rRNA from 1 species
GGAGGGUGCAAGCGUUGUUCGGAUCCACUGGGUAUAAAGGGUGCGUAGGCGGCUUGGUAAGUCAGGGGUGAAAUCUGUCGGCUUAACCGGCAAGCCGCCCCUGAAACUGCCUGGCUUGAGUCCGGGAGAGGAAGGUGGAAUUCCUGGUGUAGCGGUGAAAUGCGUAAAUAUCAGGAGGAACACCGGUAGCGAAGGCGGCCUUCUGGCCCGGUACUGACGCUGAGGCACGAAAGCCAGGGGAGCGAACGGGAUUAGAUACCCCGGUAGUCCUGGCCGUAAACGAUGGGCACUAGGUGUUGGAGGAGUCUACCCCCUUCAGUGCCCGUAGCUAAUGCAUUAAGUGCCCCACCUGGGGAGUACGGUCGCAAGGCUG